ensembl:miRNA
GACGAGGGGAGGUGUGCAGGGCUGGGGUCACUGACUCUGCUUCCCCUGCCCCACAUGGUGUCCCCACAG